GUACACGAGUUUGAUCAUGGCUCAGGAUGAACGCUGGCGGUAUGCCUAACACAUGCAAGUCGUACGAGAGUUUUUAACUCUAGUGGCGGACGGGUGAGUAACACGUGAGAAUUUGCAUUUAGGAGGGGGACAACAAUCGGAAACGAAUGCUAAUACCCCAUAUGCUUUCGAGUGAAAUGGAUUUUAUCCGCCUAGAGAGAAGCUCGCGGCUGAUUAGCUUGUUGGUAAGGUAAGAGCUUACCAAGGCGACGAUCAGUAUCUGGUUUGAGAGGACGAUCAGACACACUGGAACUGAGACACGGUCCAGACUCCUACGGGAGGCAGCAGUGGGGAAUUUUCCGCAAUGGGCGAAAGCCUGACGGAGCAAUACCGCGUGAGGGAAGACUGCCUAUGGGUUGUAAACCUCUUUUUCAGGGAGGAAUAAAAUGACGUGUACCUGAAGAAUAAGCAUCGGCUAACUCCGUG
rnacentral:rRNA from 1 species